rnacentral:rRNA from 1 species
CCUACGGGAGGCAGCAGUGGGGAAUAUUGGACAAUGGGCGCAAGCCUGAUCCAGCAAUGCCGCGUGUGUGAAGAAGGCCUGCGGGUUGUAAAGCACUUUCAGUGGGGAGGAAGGCCUUAAGGUUAAUAACCUUGAGGAUUGACGUUACCCACAGAAGAAGCACCGGCUAACUCUGUGCCAGCAGCCGCGGUAAUACAGAGGGUGCAAGCGUUAAUCGGAAUCACUGGGCGUAAAGGGUGCGUAGGUGGCGUGAUAAGUCAGAUGUGAAAGCCCUGGGCUUAACCUGGGAAUUGCAUUUGAAACUGUCAUGCUAGAGUAGAGUAGAGGGAAGUGGAAUUUCCGGUGUAGCGGUGAAAUGCGUAGAUAUCGGAAGGAACACCAGUGGCGAAGGCGACUUCCUGGACUCUUACUGACACUGAGGCACGAAAGCGUGGGGAGCAAACAGGAUUAGAUACCCUGGUAGUCCACGCUGUAAACGAUGAGAACUAGAUGUUAGGUAGCUUGUCUAUCUAGUAUCGUAGCUAACGCGUUAAGUUCUCCGCCUGGGGAGUACGGCCGCAAGGUUAAAACUCAAAGGAAUUGACGG